GUAUUGCUCAAAGGAGUAAUGGGCCAGAAUGAAGUUAAGGUAAGAAAUUCCAAGAUUUUUUUUUUAAAGAUCUUGCUUUGUUGCCCAGGUUGAUCUUGCAAUCCUGGACUCAAAGGAUCCUCCCAAGUACCUGAGAUGAAGAGGCACAUCGCCAUGCCUGGUUCAGGAAAAGUCAAUGGUGGUAAAUAGAUACAACUGAAUGGUGGCAGCAGAUUCCAUUGAUGGUGUCAGACCUCAGCUUCAGGAGCUGUCUGAGGCCCAGGAAGAAAUGGACUUCAGAUCAACUCACCCAACACUGAAAGUGAAGAGCUACGAAGUAUGAGAAAGACCUACCUCUACCUCGGGAACCUUGCUUGAGUCCCAGGUCAUCCCUAACCCAAGACGAGGAACCAGCAGAUUCAAUUUUUGCUUAGGCAAGUUUGGGUUCAUUUUUCUGUUCCUUGCAACAUGAGCAACAUGAGUGCUAUCUGAUUCUCCAGCGAAGAUAAGAACAAAAGUCCUAUAUAUCAUCAUAGUAGAGAUAGUCACAAAUCUCAUAGCAAGACCAAUGCAACGAGUUUUUUUCUUAUUAUUGAAACAGAUUGUCAUUUACUGAAAUGACCAAGAGAUGAGGUGAAUGGCAUUCAUCUAAGGGCCAUGUCAGGAAAAAUAUCCUUCACUAAACUCUCUGAUGACACUGUGUAGUUAGAGGCUCAAAAUACAUAAGGCAAGUGGGAAGUCAGUUCAUUGCAGGAAAUAGCUCAGUUUCUUGUGCUUGCUCUAGGACGUUUGCUUAUUGAAAGAAUGUCGGGUAAUACCACAGGCACUAUCUAAAAUCCUCUCUCUCCUGUUUUUCCAGUUAAAAAUAUGAAAUGUGUUAGAAAUAUAUAGCAAACA
rnacentral:lncRNA from 1 species